GAUUGGGACAAGAUAGCGCACGUUUCCAAAGUAGAAAGUACUGCCCAGCAUUAGCCGAGAAGUACAAAUUCUUAUCUAAUACGAUGAAGACUCAGACUGAUUCUGAAUUCGGCUUGUAAUUCUAAUUCAACACCAAUUUGGUUACUCUGCUAUUUCUGAUUCAAUUUUUGGUUAAUACCCAAUCGAGGAGCAAAGAAGGAAAUAAGGAUUGAUUAGUCAUGAUGAAAAAGGAGGUGGAAAAGGCCUGCAAUAACAAAGAAAACCAGCAAUGACAGCAAGCUAAAGUUGCAGAAUAUGAAGAACAUGAUGAAAAGGAACUUUUUGUUAACAAUUAUAAUGCUGCAGAGAGUGUGACAUGGAUUUUCUCAUGUAUAAUCUUUCCUGAAACUGGAAAAGGUCAUUUCCAAGGUGACCAACAGACAGAAAAAUUGUAGUUGGCACUUCAAGUCUUCAACAGAUGUGAAAGUAAUCAUGGAUGAUUUUUCAGUUCCUGGAAUUAGCCGAAUGGUGUCCAACACCUCACUUCACUCCAGCUUUUGAGAAUUCAGGACUGCCCAACAUUAGCUGAGAGGUGUAAGGAGGGAACAGAGGUGGAUUCGGACAAAAUAGCGCACGUUCCCAAAGUUGAAUUCUGCAACGCGUAAUUUUGCCUAAUGGGGGAGAACUUGAACAACAAUUUGGGUACUCUGCUAUUUCUGAUUCUAUUUUUGGUUAAUACAUAUCAGAUGUCUUUGAUCUUCCUUUUGGAGACUGGAUUCCCUGACCAACUCUCAAUCGAGUACUCAAAAGAACCCUUCAUAUGGGGAGCUUCAAAAGGCAGAGCCAACCAAAGGAGCAAGAUGAUGCACCUAGGAGAAGCUUUCAGCCAUAAAAGUAAUCUGUCAAAUUGAGCUUGCUCUCGAUGAAUGAAAUGCUGAGAGGGUUGAUCCUUUCUACUUCUCAUGGUUUGUCCACUAUUGUCAAAUUCAGUGCUUCAAGAAGAAUUCCUUCAUGGAAUUUCAUUGUAAGAGAGAAUUCCACAGGCUUGCUUGAAGACCUUGUAGAUAUUGCUCCUGAAUAUGAAGAUGAUGAGUUCCUCACUGAACCACCAGAUUCUAAUUCGAUGGAGGCAGGCAUGGACCACAAUUCAGGCACAGAAGAUAGUUAUUUCAAAAGAUAAAUUAUUUUCCAUGUUCUUUUUAAUAUUUUGGUUGUAUUGCUUUCUCCAUUGUAAAUAGUAAGAAAUCUGGUCUUGGAGGGUCUCUAUUCUUGAUUUGACUGGCAUGACUCACCAUUUGGUUCCUCACUAAAUUAAAUUAUUGGAUGAUUGGAAAUACAAUAUAUUUUUCACA